rnacentral:rRNA from 1 species
AACCNUACCUACCCUUNACAUGGACGGAAUCCCGCUGAGAGGUGGGNGUGCUCGAAAGAGAACCGUCGCACAGGUGCUGCAUGGCUGUCGUCAGCUCGUGUCGUGAGAUGUUGGGUUAAGUCCCGCAACGAGCGCAACCCUUGUCCUUAGUUGCUACGCAAGGGCACUNUAAGGAGACUGCCGGUGACAAACCCGGAGGAAGGUGGGGAUGACNUCAAGUCNUCAUGGCCCUUAUGGGUAGGGCUUCACACGUCAUACAAUGGUCGGAACAGAGGGUUGCCAACCCGCGAGGGGGAGCUAAUCCCAGAAAACCGAUCGUAGUCCGGAUUGCACUCUGCAAUCUCGAGUGCAUGAAGCUGGAAUCGCUUANUANUGCGCG